GUCCAGUAGGACCUGUAGACGCGGCCGGUCCGCGGGAACAUUAACGAGGUCCAGUAGGACCUGUAGACAUUAACGAGGUCCAGUAGGACCUGUAGACAUUAACGAGGUCCGGUAGGACCUGUAGACAUUAACGAGGUCCAGUAGGACCUGUAGACAUUAACGAGGUCCAGUAGGACCUGUAGACGCGGCCGGUCCGCGGGAACAUUAACGAGGUCCAGUAGGUUUAGUCAUUACAGAAGGGUGACUUGGUGAAGAGGAUUUUGAAUAUUGACUCUGUGGUCCUCAACCAGCCAGCAUGGAAGCUACUGGUGUUUAGAUUUUCAUUGGCUUCUCUCCAAGCUUGGCUCAAUGUGCAGGGAACUUUGUGUUUGCAUGAUAUGCCAACGGCUGUGUCCUCUAACCCAGCCUGGCAGUUAGGACUUAUCCUCUGUUACCAUAGAGACGUGUAUAUAC
rnacentral:lncRNA from 1 species